rnacentral:rRNA from 1 species
ACCAGACUCCUACGGGAGGCAGCAGUGAGGAAUAUUGGUCAAUGGGCGCGAGCCUGAACCAGCCAAGUCGCGUGAGGGAAGACGGUCCUAUGGAUUGUAAACCUCUUUUGUCGGGGAGCAAAAGACGCCACGUGUGGCGUUCCGAGAGUACCCGAAGAAAAAGCAUCGGCUAACUCCGUGCCAGCAGCCGCGGUAAUACGGGGGAUGCAAGCGUUGUCCGGAAUCAUUGGGCGUAAAGAGUUCGUAGGUGGCACGUUAAGUCUGGUGUUAAAUGCAGAGGCUCAACCUCUGUUCGGCACUGGAUACUGGCGAGCUUGAAUGCGGUAGAGGUAAAGGGAAUUCCUGGUGUAGCGGUGAAAUGCGUAGAUAUCAGGAGGAACAUCGGUGGCGUAAGCGCUUUACUGGGCCGUAAUUGACACUGAGGAGCGAAAGCCAGGGUAGCAAAUGGGAUUAGAUACCCGGGUAA